GGCAUGGUUUCUGUCCUCUGGGUCUAGCCCUCUAGGCAAGGACAUCACGCAAGGUCUGUGGGGCACAUGCAGAGAUGGGCAUGGUCAGCUGCCCAUGUGGGAGGCAGGUAGGGCUCCGAGGCGGAGCGUGCUGGGUGAGCCUUUGGGCUGAAGUUGUCACUAACUGGGAGGACAUGUUAGGGGAUGACUCCUGGGUGGAGAGCAGUGAGGCUUUUUUAAAUAGUCCACAGAGAAAGCUUUGGGUAAAUGGUCUUUGCAUGUUAGUUCUGCCCUUCAGGAGCUGCCAAGCACAGCUUCAGCUAUUCUCCACCUGCCUGGAGGGUCUGGGGAAACCAGAGGAGGAGGCUCCUGAUGGGUCAGCAUCCCUGGGGACCACAGUCAGCAUGACUCACCUGGCCCAGAGGGAACCGGAGAGCCUGGAGAGGUCGGAGCUCACCACCUCCCUGUCAUCUACAGCUGUGUUCUUCCACACAGCAGCCGGAGUGAUCCUUCCCCAUGGGCUUGCAUCAGUCUCCACGGUCUCUAAGCUUCCUCUGGGAACCUCCAAUUCCUAGUAUAUCAAGUCAGGAGGCUGACAAGAUGCUUUCUAGAAACCCUGAGAGCACUGCCCUUGGAAACUCCCAUCAUGAAGGGCAGGGGAACACUCCUUAUUCAAAGCAACCCUUCAGUGCGAGGAGACUUCCUGACAUGGAAAUUUGUAUGCCUCCUAUAAGCACCACCUGUUCGUGUCUGUGUGCCCCGGGAAGUGGAUUUACAGCUUAGGAUGUCUCAUUUCAACUGAACUAAUCCUCACAAAAUGGCCAAGUGAUGUAAAUGAUUCCCGUGAAGAAACUGCAAGCUGCAGAAAGGACUAAUGCUGCUGCCUGAGGGCACAGCAGAAUAGCUGACUCUGUCCCUCCCCAACUCCUAGCGCUCGCUGCUUCUCAGCUAAUGACUGGAUAAAAAUAAUGGCAGUCCGAUUGCAUCAAUCACUGAGUUGGUCAAAAGACUUGAAAUAUUAUGAAGAAUAAUGUUUGAAAUAUGGUCUCUCGUCCACUGUCCUUAAUAAUGACUCUCUCUGAGUGAUCACUGUACAUUGACACAGCUAAUGAAAGCAUGAAGCCACGGCAAUUAGCAAGACAUUUAGAAAUUUUUUUCAACUGGUUAAAAUCAUGAUAUAUUUAACCCAGCCCCUUACAAAUAUUGAUUAAAUUUGAUUAUUUUAAAUUUAUUACUUCAAAGUGAAAGGUCAUAAUCUAUUGGUCAAACACUUAUUCCUCUUGCUAUGUUGAAAUGGCUGGAAAAAUAUCUGAACACUUCAUAGUGACAUCUUAACAUGGACUCCUUGGUCGUCGUUAAAUAUUGUUGGAAGAUGCACAGAACUUGUUGCUGAAGAGUUGAAGACAACUUAAAUAAUUCAGUGUGAGAGGUCUGCCAUACAAUUACUGGAAAGUCUAGAUGACUCCAACAUAGUUCAGCUUGUAUUAUUUCUAGAUUCUUCAUUUCUGUAAUGAAUUACAUUGGAGAACUCUUCCCUGUGAGCUCUUAAGAUGUACCAGAAAAAAAAAAUUCUCAAUAGUAAAUGAGUUUCUUAA